rnacentral:ncRNA from 1 species
AUCUUCGGGGCAGGGUGAAAGUCCCUACCGGCGGUAUAGCCCGCGAGCUUUUUAAGCAUGAUUCGGUGAAAUUCCGAGGCCGACAGUUAAAGUCUGGAUGGUAGAAGAUA